CCCCACCUGGAUGUCCACGGCCCUGAGGGCCGCGCGGUUGAUAUUCAGGUGGACCCCCACUUGGAUGUCCACGGCCCUGAGGGCCGCGCGGUUGAUAUUCAGGUGGACCACCACCUGGAUGUCCACGUCCCUGAGGGUCGUGCGGUUGAUAUUCAGGUGGACCCCCACCUUGAUGCCCACGGCCCUGAGGACCGCGCGGUUGAUAUUCAGGUGGACCACCACCUGGAUUUCCACGGCCCUGAGGGCCGCGCGGUUGAUAUUCAGGUGGACCACCACCUGAAUUUCCACGGCCCUGAGGGCCGCGCUGUUGAUAUUCUGGUGGACCACCGCCUGUUUGUCCACGGCCCUGAUAGUCACGCUGUUGAUAUUCUG
rnacentral:lncRNA from 1 species